GUAGGUGGAUGAAUAAGUGAAUAGUGAAAGCCGAUGGCUCAACCAUUUGGACUAUUAUUCAAACUGUUCGUCUCGAGAGUAGCAGAGGUAACUGGAAUUUCUUGUGUAGGAGUGGAAUCCGUAGAUAUAAGAAGGAACACCAAUGGCGUAGGCAGGUUACUGGGCUAUUUCUGACACUAAGGCACGAAAGCGUGGGGAGCGAACGGGAUUAGAUACCCCGGUAGUCCACGCCGUAAACGAUGGAUACUAGCUGUUGGAGGUAUCGACCCCUUCAGUAGCGAAGCUAACGCGUUAAGUAUCCCGCCUGUGGAGUACGGCCGCAAGGCUAAAACAUAAAGGAAUUGACGGGGACCCGCACAAGCGGUGGAUUAUGUUCUUUAAUUCGAUGAUAACCGAAGAACCUUACCAGGGCUUGACAUCCAGGGAAGCACUACGAAAGUAGAGUGUGCCUUUUGGAACCCUGUGACAGGUGAUGCAUGGCCGUCGUCAGCUCGUGUCGUGAGAUGUUAGGUUAAGUCCUUCAACGAGCGCAACCCUUGUGAAUAGUUGUAAUUUUCUAUUCAGACUGCCCCGGUAACGGGGAGGAAGGAGGGGAUGAUGUCAGGUCAGUAUUUCCCUUACGCCCUGGGCUAGAAACGUAAUACAAUGGCAAGUACAAUGCGCAGCGAAACCGCGAGGUGAAGCAAAUCGCAUCAAAGCUUGUCCCAGUUCGGAUUGGAGGCUGAAACUCGCCUCCAUGAAGUCGGAAUCGCUAGUAAUCGCAGAUCAGCAAGCUGCGGUGAAUACGUUCCCGGGUCUUGUACACACCGCCCGUCAAACCAUGAAAGUCACCAACACCCGAAGUCCGAUUAGUCGGCCUAAGGUGGGGGGGAUGAUUGGGGUU
rnacentral:rRNA from 1 species